rnacentral:rRNA from 1 species
UACGUAGGGUGCAAGCGUUGUCCGGAAUUAUUGGGCGUAAAGGGCUCGUAGGCGGUCUGUCACGUCGGGAGUGAAAACUCGGGGCUUAACCCCGAGCCUGCUUCCGAUACGGGCAGACUAGAGGUAUGCAGGGGAGAAUGGAAUUCCUGGUGUAGCGGUGAAAUGCGCAGAUAUCAGGAGGAACACCGGUGGCGAAGGCGGUUCUCUGGGCAUUACCUGACGCUGAGGAGCGAAAGCGUGGGUAGCAAACAGG